CAGCAGCCGCGGGAAUACGUAGGUGGCGAGCGUUGUCCGGAAUUAUUGGGCGUAAAGGGCUCGCAGGCGGUUUCUUAAGUCUGAUGUGAAAGCCCCCGGCUCAACCGGGGAGGGUCAUUGGAAACUGGGAAACUUGAGUGCAGAAGAGGAGAGUGGAAUUCCACGUGUAGCGGUGAAAUGCGUAGAGAUGUGGAGGAACACCAGUGGCGAAGGCGACUCUCUGGUCUGUAACUGACGCUGAGGAGCGAAAGCGUGGGGAGCGAACAGGAUUAGAUACCCCCGUAGUCCCUGUCUCUUAUAC
rnacentral:rRNA from 1 species